CCCUAAACGCGUUAGGGAUGGGAGUGGCAUCCUUUUGCGGGAAACCAAAAACUACCAGACUUACCUGAAACUCCUCCCGCAAAAGAUACAGCGGACAGCCCGACCCAGA
rnacentral:sRNA from 1 species